CACUGCCCAUCAAAGUCAUCUUAGCUGACUUCAUUGGAGGCAGGGGUCAAGAAAACCUAAAUGGAUGGUUUAGUCAGUAAAUCUUCUGUGUAUGGGCACUUAAAAAUAAGUCACAAGGUUGAGGAUUCCACAAAGGUGACUCUCAAAUUGGUGACAGUCUCACAAAUCAGGGCUUUCAUGGAAAGAGAAGGUAAUCUUUUUCUGAAUUUGAGAUGGAAUCUGGGUUUCUGGUUCCUUUCCAGGAAUUCAUUCCUAGGCCAGCCAUGUCACUUAGGCUCAUGAGACAGUACCUCAGUGAAUGUCUACUCACUCGUGGGAAUGUUAAUGUUCCAUAAAUUCUUGGUGUGAGGUAUUCCUUUGGAUACACACCACAAGUGGGAUUGCUGGACUAGACGGUCGUUCUGUUUUUAACUUUUUGAGGGAGUUUCAUACUGUUUUCCAUAGUAGCUGUACCAAUUUAGUCUUGAACUAAAUGAGUUUCGUGAGCGGUUCUCAGCCACUUUUGAUUGUCGGUUCUUUUCAGGAGAAGUACUGGAGAGAUUAGGGGCUCAAAGGGGAAAGCACGCCCCUGAUCAGGAAAGAUGGAAUGACUGACUACAUACGGACCUUCGUUGGGGUUCCUAAAGCCUAGAGGUGGGGAAGGGGCCGGGAAGAGUGACCCUCUAUAGAGCUGCUCUCAGAGCACAAGGAGAAAGCUGGACAGGAGGACAUAGGCCCUCAGUGUGAAAGGUGCAUUGGACUUUCUGUGGUCAAAAGUGUCUGCUACCUAUUUCUCAGUCCCUGGUACUGCCUGGGAUCAUUGUAGCAUGGGGACUGAAGAUAAUAGUGCACAUCGCUGAGUGUGACAUGAGAGUGGAUUACUUUGUGGCAAAGGUGAGACUUUGAUGAUGAAGGCUUUACCCUAUGUUACAGCAUUCCUCAGAAUUUUGGAGUUCACUGUUAGGGAUGUUCUUGUGUUCCUGCUUCAGUCUAUGCACUGCCUUAGGCUGUCAAAAGCAUCUGGGGAAAGGUGAGCUUUCCCCCUCCUAUACUGUGGCCUAGAGCAGUAGUCUGAGAGAGUCUCCCGGGAGGUGCCCACUGAUGGUGACUACACUUGGUUGAGUAGACCACUCAACUCUUCUGUUGGGACUACCUGUGGCCAUAAAGAGGCACAUGAAAGUGAGCUGCUGUUGCUGGUGUGUUCUAGUGAUCUAGCAGCCAGACACUUCUUCCUUCAACACUCACACACCUCAGGUGCCUUGGUAAACUCCUAAAGGAGGCGCAUAUUGGCAACGGCAGCAUGUGGGGCAUGGGAAAUGUUGAGUCAGGGGCAGAAGUUGGCGGUAGCCUGAUGUCAGAAUUCUGUGCCUUUGUGCAGAGCGAGGGCACAUUGGGAUUCCCGAGGAGUCCCAACUCUGUAGGAAUGUGGUUGGAACUUUCCACGUUCACUUUCUGCACUCUUCCACUGAGCACACUCUGCACAUUGUGUGGAAGAAAGAGGUCCGCCGGGUCUUGUCAAUGAACUGUCCAUGAAUCCGGGGCCAUUUGCUUCUUUCUGCGCAUAUGCCGAUGAGCAUGGAUGUCCAGGAACCUCCGGAGUCAGGUGCCCCAGCUGGAGCAUGAAGCCCUUGUAUUCCUCUUGCUGGAGAGGGCUACACCCUCAGGCUGUGGCUGUCUCUCCCCCCGUGUGUCUGCUACAAAGCCUUUCUAGCAGAAAGGCUGGCUGCUGGUGGCUUCUCUUCCAUUUGGGUCUUCCUGUUGAUGGGGGUGACAUUGCCUCAAGGGGCCUUCUCUGCAUUCUGAAGGAAGAAAGUGGUGUUGGUACAACAGUGGAGGGACAGUUCUGCAUUGUUUGUGGUGGUGUGCUACUGGAGUCGGGGAGAGGAAAGGGGAGCUCAACGUGGGGAGGGAAAAGGUCCCAUGGUUCCCCCAUUUCAGGCUUUUGCUUUCUCUUGAUUAGGGAAAUUUGGGCCCAGCAGGGCUAUGAGGAGGAGGCUCUGAGAGUAUAAGGAAAGACUGACAGUGGGGAGGACAACGGUCUCUGGUGUAACGACUGUGGUGGGCAUUGUGGGUUCAUGGCUCUUUCUCCUGUCUCCUUUCUCCAUUCUUGUGGCCUUCCUUUGGGUUAGCACAGCUUAGGGACAGAAGAUAAUAAUGGACCCUGAUGGGGAUUUUCUCUUAUAGAGAAAAUACGGCUUUCUUGUAAACUAGGACAUUUACUAUGGGAACAGGAUUAUUGUCCAUUUUCCCAAGUGAAUUGUGAGUUUGUCUACAAGUGAAGGCUUGGCUGUCUCUUCCUUGUUCUGUGUGGCCUAGACCCGUGGAAAACGGCUGUUGUGGAAGGGGAGCUCUCUGUCCUGCUGUACUGUUGCACAGUAUAUAAUGUAAGGGAGUUCUGAGAAGGAACUGCUGUUGCUUACACUAUUGAUUGUUUUUCUGCAGAGAUAUUUUCUGCCCUUUUCCUGUAGCUUUAUGGGCUCUUGGUCACUGCUUUUGCUGCCAGGUCCCUGAAGGAACUCUCUUGGUUUGUCAGAUUACCAAGAGGCUUAUUUAACUUACAGAAAAGAGUUGCAUACAUUGCAGAGAGUCAGAGAUGGCAACCCAUUGCCUGGAGAAUCCCAGGGACAGAGGAGCCUGGUGGGCUGCCGUCUAUGGGGUCGCACAGAGUCGGACACAACUGAAGUGAUUUAGCAGCAGCAGAGUCAGACAAAGAACUGACCCGUAUUCCACCAUUUUUUAGGAAAGGCAAGAAAGAAUGUCUUGUCCCUUUUCAGCAUGAGCAGUUUCAUUUUCCUUAUUUUAGUUUCCCUUACAAUGUGCUCCCCAUGAGAUACCCCUGGGUAUCUUCACCCUCCCUCCAAGUGCUGAUUCCAAAGUCCUGGCCAUAGUCAGACCUGCGCAGAGAACUUCCUCAAGAGGAACUUGUGGAAAGAGCACCUGAAGGACAAGUAAAAAGUAUGAGUGACUGCUUAUCCUCUAGGAGCUUUUUACCCAUACAUAUGUCCUCAGGGGGAAUUCUCUGUGAUCAAUAGGACCACUCGGGAUGAGGAUUAAAACAACAAACCCUGUUUAGAGAUGGUUUAAAUCGCUCUGCUGAUGUCAGCACUCUGCUGGCAAGUGGAGCUGAACUUCAUCUCUCACCAUCCCUUUCUCGAGGGCUCUGAAGGAGCAGAGAUUUGAUCUCCAAUUGGCAGAGGGCCGAUUUCUGUGUCUUGUGGUGCACAGGACCUCCUCGAAUACUUGGUAGGAGGCAAGGACUCAGAUCCUGCAGAGUUUUACUUAUGGAAUUGUAGUGUGCCGCUCUGUCAAAAAGAGUGGACAGAAUGAGCAAAAUAGGUGCAUUCCUGUACAAUGUGAAUGGUCUCUUCAUCCGUCUGGACUUGAAUGUGCCCUCCCAGUCCACUAUGCUGUCUCCAGCACACACACAAAAUGGGUUACUGAGCGUCGCCAGCCAGGCCACCUUGCAGUUUAGAUUUGGGUUGGCUUUCUGAGCUUCCUUCGCCUCUUCUUAUUCAUGUGCAAGCCUACUGUCCUACUUCUCAUCAGCUUUGGAAAGGAACAGCAGUGGGCUCACUUCAGUGAAUCCUAAGGAGAUUCACUGGUUUACUCAGCCUCUCCCAAUCAGUCAGACAGAGCACCUUCCAGAAUGCUGAAAGGCCUGUUGUAGAUUUUCCUCUAGUAGAUUGUCAGAGUACUGAGCUACGGAUAUAGGAUAUAGUUAAAGCCAGGAACCAAGCACCUGUGCAUCUCCUCCGGACCCCAGAACUGAUGUGUACUCGAAAGGCUAAGAGGGUAGGUCUUAUUCCGUCAUGUUUUUAUUACCAGAUAACAAUAAAUUACGAAGGUGGAAUGAAACUUCAGAGUGGAUGGGUGUGUUUACGAUAUAGAUUAUGGAGAUGCUUUAUGGAUGUAAACUAUCUCCAGACUCAUUAGAUUGUAUACCUUAAAUGUGUACUUUUUUUUUGUAUGGCAGUCAUUCCUCAUACCUCAAUGAAGGGGUUUAAAAACAUAAUAAAAAAGACCCUUCCAUGAUCACAAAUGAGUGCCCCCCUCCAUGUGUUUUUAGAUUUUAGAACUGAGAGGGAAGACUGUUUCUCCUUGGGGAAAUGGGUAAUGCCAUUUACAGCUUCUGUAUUCUGGUUUUGCCUUGGUUUUUCUAUGGAUACAUAGUAUUUGCAUUAGUGGUGUAUAAGGUUAACCUUUAGUCCGUAGGGUUUUGAAUUUCAUAGAAUCACAGCAGUUCUACAGAAGUCGUCAACUUCAUGCAGAGGACUUCGGCUCAAGAAGUGACCCUGUGACAUCAGCGAGUGGUCAUUUGACCAGAAAUUGACUUUGGGUAUUGUGCCUUUGGGAAUGGCUUGGACUUUGGGUUGUUUUCAUUUUCUGUAACAUAUGCUUUUGUGCUUACUCAAGAAAUCUUUAAAAAUUGUGUACCCAUGGGGGCAUGUCAACAUGCAUGUGUGCUGUAUUUGUAUUCCACAGGGUGGAAGGCCCUGUCUCAGGCUCAUUGGUCUCUCUAGCAGGCCUCUUUUCUCUCAGACCUUCCCACAGCCUUCUAUUUUCUAUGUCACUGAGUUUCCUGGCCAUAGCUACUUGGUUUGGCAUACUUUUCAUCUUAUCCUAGUUGAGCCAGUAAUACUUGUGCCAUAGUUUGGGACUAGACCCGCAAGAAUGAGUGAGAGCUUGCAAAGGUUCACUAGUAACCUUUUACUGCAGAGAAUGUAAAAAGAUACACUGUUGGGACUUCCCCAGCAGUCCAGUGGUUAAGACUCCAUGCUUCCAAUAUAUGGGGGAGGGGUUCAAUCCCUGGUGGGGGAACUAAGAUCCCACAUGCUGCAUGGCAUGGCCAAAAAAAAAAAAAAGACAUACUGCUGAGUUUCCGUGAGCUAGCCUCAUUUCUGUGUCUUUAAAAUGUAUUUGUUGCUUAAAUUUCUUGUAUUUUGUUAAAUACUUGUGUUCUGCCAAUAAAAUUCAUUUGCUUCAGAAGA
ensembl:lncRNA